GACGAACGCUGGCGGCGUGCUUAACACAUGCCAGUCGAACGGAAAGGCCCUGCUUUUGUGGGUUGCUCGAGUGGCGAACGGGUGAGUAACACGUGAGUAACCUGCCCUUGACUUUGGGAUAACUUCAGGAAACUGGGGCUAAUACAGGGUAGGAGCUCCUGAUGCACGGUGGUGGUUGGAAAGUUUCGGCGGUUGGGGAUGGAAUCGCGGCUUAUCAGCUUGUUGGGGGGGUAGUGGCUUACAAGGGCUUUGACGGGUAGCCGGCCUGAGAGGGUGACCGGCCACAUUGGGACUGAGAUACGGCCCAGACUCCUACGGGAGGCAGCAGGGGGGAAUAUUGCACAAUGGGCGGAAGCCUGAUGCAGCAACGCCGCGUGCGGGAUGACGGCCUUCGGGUUGUAAACCGCUUUCGCCUGUGACGAAGCGUGAGUGACGGUAAUGGGUAAAGAAGCACCGGCUAACUACGUG
rnacentral:rRNA from 1 species